rnacentral:rRNA from 1 species
AGCGAACGCUGGCAGUAUGCUUAACACAUGCAAGUCGAACGAAAGUAGCAAUACUUUAGUGGCAAACGGGUGAGUAAUGCAUAGGAAUCUACCUUGUAGCGGGGGACAACCACUGGAAACGGUGGCUAAUACCGCAUAAGCCGGAAACGGGAAAGGCAUCAUUAGUUUGUUAUUUAUGUUCAUUAUGGAUAUGAAUAACUGACUAAGAUGUCACUAUAAGAGGAGCCUAUGUCUGAUUAGCUAGUUGGUAGGGUAAAGGCCUACCAAGGCUAUGAUCAGUAGCCGGUCUGAGAGGAUGAUCGGCCACACUGGAACUGAGACACGGUCCAGACUCCUACGGGAGGCAGCAGUGGGGAAUAUUGGACAAUGGGCGAAAGCCUGAUCCAGCAAUACUGCGUGAAUGAUGAAGGCCCUCUGGGUUGUAAAAUUCUUUAUCAGGAGAUAAUGACGGUACCUGAUGAAU